rnacentral:lncRNA from 1 species
CAGGGAUACAGGAAAUCUUCCUAAAUGAGCAGCUCCAACAACUGCUGGAUGCAGGUGAAGGAUGUAUUAAAAUUUCCAGUUGCUAUGCUUGCAACAACAAGAAAUUGAAACAUGACUGCAAGCAAAGUAGUGACAUCUGGCCGAGCCUUGGAGAGAAGCAGAGAAGCUUACAUUUCAUACUGACCGUAAUUUUAUUCCUUUUCCACA